CAGAAGAUAGUUUAAAUAAAAUAAUAAUUUUGGAGAUUAUUGAUAAGAGAAAUCUUUCUUUUGA
rnacentral:tRNA from 2 species